GCGGAACUGAAAAUGGGAAGCCUGCUAGGGCUGUGUCAUGGGAAAGCUCCAGCUUCCACUCAGCAGACAAGUGGUAGAGACGGUUAAUGAAGCUCUACGGAUGGCCAUAACUCAAUUGCACGUGCUCCUCUGUUUGUCCUGCUUAGAUCGUUUGCUUUAGCCCAAAGGAGUUGCAGUGCUGUUUGACUGAUGGCAGGCUUGCAAUAGCUGCUGUUCUUAUAUUUUAUGGUUGGGAGUGACCAAAACGCAAGCCCUGAGAUGGAGAUAGUUGUGGAAGAGACUGCCUCUGUCAAAGAGUGUCUAAAUUUAAUGCUGGAAAAAUCGGGAUUAUCAGGUGACAACUGGCAUUUGAGAAGGGUUGACUGGUGCUAUGAAGCAGGGGAAGCAUGAAGUCAGGAAAAUGCCACUCUGAAGGAACUUAAUGUUUGCAGAGGAGAUACUUUGGUUAUAACUGAAGGAAAGCUUCCAGCAAAGGUGACAACGGAACGGUGGAAGAUAACACACGAGCGUUUCUGUGCAGUAGUCGCGUGCUGGUGGCAUCUAACGCGUUUGCCUUUUGGGGCUGGGAACCUGGGCGAACGGAUUGCCGUAUCGAGUGAAGUCUGCUGUCAGACACACCGCGGAGCCGUGCUGAACCGCACGAACGUCCAGAAACCUGUUCUGAAAGGAGCAAAGCCGUUGUUCAACAAUCGCUUUUGAACAUAGCCUGAAGUAUCCUGAAUUAAAUCUGUGUUAAUGAGAGGGCAAACUACAAGUCACUUUUGGGGGCUACCGUAAACGUUGAAGCUGUUGCCUUGUAUGUGGAGCAGAUGCUGUAGUAGGAGAUACCAGUAGAGCAGGCUACUAAAAUUGUGGCUAAUGUGAGAAGCUCUCUCAUUUACCUUUUAUAGGUUAACAACAUUCUGGUAUUUCAGACAGCUUCAAGACAAAAACUGACACUCUCAGCUAUCAGCAAAAAAAAAAAAGUCCAAAGCCCCUUGAAGCAUAUGAUUAAUAUUUAUUUCUGUGCAUCUCUCUCAAAUUCAGCAGGUGCUUCUGUGCUUUCUGAGGCCGCUUCAUUCAAGAAGGGGAUCUUUUUAAUUUCCUCGCUGUUUCGGUUGUAGGUAGGCUUCCCUUGAAUCUUGAAAUCCUAGUUCUAUGGAUAGAUUUUCUGACUGAGGUGAGGGCAGCCGACUGCUUUCCCCGUCUGACUUUGCGCCGCCUUCUUCCCUAUCCACAAGUGUUCUUGCGAGCCAGAAAUGAUCGCGCGUGCUGAUUCCUAAGGUAAGCCAGAAAGGUUUGCGUUCGCAGGUUGUUCCGUGGCAUUGCACUUACUUUGCUGUCCCUUUGAAUUCCUCCAGUUCCUUGCUGGACAGCUGUCCUGAGCUCAGCCUUCCCACCUGCCUUUAAUAACUCCAGCCUCUUCUCGAAAACACGACGUUUGGAGAAAUGUAAAGACGGAUUCCAAGUGCUAACGUGGGGAUUUUAGUAUGUGCCUUUGUUCAAGUGUAAUGUAGCAGCGCCUGCACUGAACCAAUCUUGGAUUAUUUCUAAUGUUGGCUCAAAAUGCGUAUUUUUUUUCCUUAAAACUACUGUGGGUCAUUCCGCAAGGAGAGAGUUCGUUAAAAAGGGGGGUGGGGAGAGGGAACACCUUUUUAAAACGGAGUCUUUGUGAUUCCACAGUUUAUGACGGUUAUAUUCCAAAGCCUGGAAAAGCUUUCGUCUUUAUUUUUCAAGUGUUCUUCACAAAAUAAAAAGUCAUUUCUAGA